AAAAAAAAAGAAUUUUCACUUAAAAAUUUAUUAUAGAUUUAUUUUACAUGUAAAUUUUUUAGUUAGUUUUUAAAAAAUAUUUUAAAAAUAUUUUAUAAAUUAUAUUCACAGUAUUUAAUUUUGAAUAUUUAAGAAAUUAAGAUUUAGUAAUAUAUAAAUUAUUAACUAAUUUUGUGCCAGCAGUUGCGGUUAUACAAUAAAUAAGUUAAAUAUUUUUAGUAAUUAAUUAAUAAAUGAUAAAAUUAUUAUAAAUAUAUAAUUAUUAAGUGAAAUUUUAAUUAUAUAAAAUAUAAUUUAUAGUUAAUUAUGAAUUAAUAAAUUUUAUAAUAAACUAGGAUUAGAUACCCUAUUAUUAAAAAAUUAAAUUUUAAAACUAAAAUAGUAAAUUUAAUUUUAAACUUAAAAAAGUUGGCGGUAUUUUAGUUUAUUUAGAGGAAUCUGUUUAUUAAUUGAUAUUCCACGAAUGAAUUUACUUAAUUUAAAGUUUAUAUAUCGUCGUUAAAAAAAUAUUUUAUAAAAAUAAAAAUAUUUAAGAAUUUAUAUAAAAAAUUAAAUCAGAUCAAGAUGUAAUUUAUAAUUAAGAAUAUAAUGGAUUACAAUAAAUAUAUUUAUUAUGGAUUAUAAUUUGUAAAAAUUAUAUAAAAGUGGAUUUAAAUGUAAUUUUAUUUAAUUUAAUAAUAUGAUUUAAAAUUAGAAUAUGUACAUAUUGCCCGUCGCUCUCAUUUAAAAAUUGAGAUAAGUCGUAACAAAGUAGAGGUACUGGAAAGUGUUUCUAGAAAGAU
rnacentral:ncRNA from 1 species